rnacentral:rRNA from 1 species
CCUACGGGGGGCAGCAGUGAGGAAUAUUGGUCAAUGGGCGAGAGCCUGAACCAGCCAAGUCGCGUGAAGGAUGAAGGAUCUAUGGUUUGUAAACUUCUUUUAUAGGGGAAUAAAGUGAGGAACGUGUGCCUUUUUGUAUGUACCAUAUGAAUAAGCAUCGGCUAACUCCGUGCCAGCAGCCGCGGUAAUACGGAGGAUGCGAGCGUUAUCCGGAUUUAUUGGGUUUAAAGGGUGCGUAGGUUGUUAAUUAAGUCAGCGGUGAAAGUUUGUGGCUCAACCAUAAAAUGGCCGUUGAAACUGGUUGCCUUGAGUAUCUUUGCGGUCGGCGGCAUGCGUGUUGUAGCUGU